rnacentral:rRNA from 1 species
GGAUGAACGCUAGCGACAGGCCUAACACAUGCAAGUCAGGGGCAGCACAGGAAGCAAUCUGAGGUGGCGACCGGCGCACGGGUGAGUAACACGUAUGCAACCUGCCUGUAAGCGGGGAAUAACCCGUUGAAAGACGGACUAAUACCGCAUAAUACUAAAUUACUGCAUGGUAAUUUAUUUAAACAUUUAUGGCUUACAGAUGGGCAUGCGCAUGAUUAGCUAGUUGGAGAGGUAACGGCUCCCCAAGGCAACGAUCAUUAGGGGUUCUGAGAGGAAGGUCCCCCACACUGGUACUGAGACACGGACCAGACUCCUACGGGAGGCAGCAGUGAGGAAUAUUGGUCAAUGGACGAGAGUCUGAACCAGCCAAGUCGCGUGCAGGAAGAAUGUCCUAUGGAUUGUAAACUGCUUUUGCAGGGGAAUAAAGUGCAUCACGUGUGAUGUUUUGUAUGUACUCUGCGAAUAAGGAUCGGCUAACUCCGUGCCAGCCGCCGC